CUGCCUGUCUGCAGCGGAGUGAUUCGGCGUCUGCCGCGGAGUGAUUGGGCCUCUGCCGCGGAGUGAUUCGGCCUCUGCCGCGGAGUGAUUCGGCCUCUGCCGCGGAGUGAUUCGGCCUCUGCCGCAUGACUCGGGACCUGCCGCAUGACUCGGGACCUCGGUAGGGCAUGCACAGACGUGCCUGUCUGCAGCGGGCUGAUUCUGCGUGUUCCGCGUGACUGGGGACCUCGGUAGGGCAUGGGCAGAUCUGCCUGUCUGCGGCAGAGGCAGGUUUAUUUGGGGAAUAAUUGAUGUGCACAAUCUGAUGAGUUUGGACAUACAUACACCAACGAUACCAUCACCACAAUCAAGUCACUGUGGGAUGAGCAGCUGUCUUCCAGCAAGCCCUUCCAGCAUGCCAUUUCUGCCUUGGAGCCAGUCAACUUUAAACUGAACCCACUGGAAACUGAAAUGAGGAACAUGGAAGAUAUUUUCUGCUGAAUCUGUGGGGCUACAACACACACUGCCAGCAGGGCCAUGUGAUCACGCUGGCACUAUGAUUCUGGUUGGUGUUCAAGGUUGUAUUAAUUCUUUGCCCAGGGCUUCCUUCUGCCGGAAAGGUAAGGCUGGCCAGACCCUUUCAGAAGUGCUUUAAAUGCCACAUGCUUUUCUCCUGCUUUUGCAAGCUAACUGUAAUCUGGGGCUGUAUUCCACUGCUGCAUCUCUUACCAGACUUACCUUAAAUUACCAUGGCUGAGCAUAUUUUUCUCCUCAAGAAGACCACAAUUACUGUGAAGGCCUUCUCUGUGCAUGACUCAUCACCCUAAUCUCCUUGCUGUCGUGAUGCAUGGAUCUUAGGAGGACUUCUAUAAGUAUUUGCUGUGAAUAAAUAAAUGAAUGAAUAAAUGAAAAGCUAAUGGCUUGGGUGAUUAAGGGUGAAUUAGUCUGAGAGGAGAGACAACCAGCAUUUGCAGAAAACAAAUGAAAGUUCAUAGUUCCCUGUUAGAAUAUCAAAGCCACAAGGUAUGAAAAAAACUAUCUGGAAGACAGGGCUGCUAUCUGAGCCUAUGAACCGGGAAGAAUUCUGGGUUGUCAAAAAAAUCAAACUGGGCUUGGUGGCACACAUUUAUAAUUCCAACACUCUAGGAAGAUGCAGGAAGAUUCCAAAUUUGUGCCCUGCCUGGGCAAUUUAGGGACUUAGGAAGACUCUGACUCAAAAAAUAUACAUAUAAGGUAAGGGAUAUAGCUCAGUGCAAAAGGCC
ensembl:lncRNA